rnacentral:misc_RNA from 1 species
AAAAAAUUUUACAUAUUUAAUUUAUUUACAAUAUUUAUUAAUUAAUAUAAAAAUAAUAUUUUAACAGCACAAAGAGUAAUAUUGAAUGGGUCCACCUUUAUGUAAAAGAGAGACACACUUUUAAUAUUAUUUAUGAUCAAAGUGUAGUUUUCUGUCUUUCUCACAAUUCCUUUUUUCUCGUACAUGUACCUAUAUUACAAAACAAAUAUCUUAUACAAUAAUAAUUUAUUUUAUUAUGAAACAUUUUGAAAAUCUCAUAAUAAAAUAUGACUUAAAGGCAACAUUAUACUAAAUCUUAACUAAAAGACAAAUUUUGAUAGCUUAUCUGUUAAGUUCUAAAUGGAUGAAUAAACAAACAUAAAUGAGUUCAUGAACAUAUUCAGGCUAAGCUUGCUUAUGCUAAUGUUAAUUU